rnacentral:rRNA from 1 species
AAUGGGAUUCCUUAAGUAAUUGCGAAUGAACAAGGAACUGCUCAGCUUGAAAAUUGGGGCCUUCGGCCUUGAAUUGUAAUUUUGAAAUGUAUUGCCAAUGGAGGCGCAGGUGCAAGCCUAUUGAAAGAAAGCGUCAAUGAGGGUGAGAUUCCUUUUUGUCAUUUGCAGUCCUCCGUGCACGGUAUAUAUUUGACGAGUCACACUCCUCGGCAUUGGAAUGCAAAGUGGGUGGUAAAUUCCAUGUAAAGGAAAAUAUAUUAUUGAGACUGAUAGCAAACAAGUACCAUGAGGGAAAUAUGAAAAGGACUUUGAAAAGAGAAUUAAAAGAGUCUGCAUUUGCUGAACAGAAAGCAAACAGAAUUGAUCUACUUGGUGAGAUUGUUGCGUCCACUUGUGGGCGCAAUGGUUCUUACCUUGAAUGUCAGCGUCUAUUUCUGCAAAUCAUUACCCUUGCACAUGAAUGGUAAUUUGCCUGUGGGUAUUGGAAUGCAUGUGUUUGCAAUGAUUUGUGAUUUGAUACGUGUGUCUGGUGUUCUUGUGUGUGCCUUCUUGCCAAAAGGGGAGGGCUCUCCUCCCUGGGCACUGCAAGCCCUUGCACAUUGUUGCUGGCAAAAUGUUUCUGCUUGACCCGUCUUGA